rnacentral:tRNA from 1 species
CGCGCCGUAGCUCAGGCGGAAGAGCACCGCCCUCAUAAGGCGUGGGGUCGCUGGUUCGAGCCCAGCCGGCGCGA